AAAUUCGGAACCCGACCCAACUUUAGUACCUGAAACACUGUUGGCUGUUACGGUGUUAGCCACCUGGCAAACUUUGAAGGGUAUUAUGGUCCCUUCACUGUUCAUCUUAUUCUUCCUCACACUCUCUGUCUUCUUGUUUCUCCCAACUUCGUUUGUGUGGCCGCGGAGGGUUUUGAUGAGGUCGCCGGUUUCGAAGUCCAAGAGGUGGAGGGUUUUGUCGUCGGAGACGGAGACCAUGAACUGGGAGUCGGCGGAGAAGGCAAAACACGAGAGAGAGAGAGAGAGCUGGGAGCUCUGACCCAGGCACCACCGCGACCUGAGAAGGAAACCCGACCAGGGGGACGCCUUCCGGCCACCCCACGACGGCGCGCGGCCACCAGCAGCUUCAUCUCGGUGUCGUCUACGUCCCUGUGGUCCCAGAUUAUACAUGCAGCGACUGGGAACGGAGAAUCGAAGAUCCAAAGCUUGAAGAACCUCCGGCGAGUUUCAACAAAUUCUGGCGACUCCGGCCACCGUUUGGGGUGUAUUUGAUCAACCCUGGAGAAGCUUGUUGAGCGGCUAGCAUGGAAGUCAACAGUUCACCACCAUUCCAGUUUCGGCAGUGAGCUCGGGAAGCUGAGUUUGGGUGAUUGAAGUUGAUUUUCGAUUUUCCAAGGUCGGAACGCCGGAUUUUGGUGUCGUUGGAAAGGAUUGUGGAGAAUUGGGUCGUGCAGCGCGAUUUCACGACAGGCCUGGAAUUCGAAGACGACACUCAAAUACCCAGAACACCGG